rnacentral:rRNA from 1 species
GAUGAACGCUGGCGGCGUGCCUAAUACAUGCAAGUCGAGCGAACGGACGAGAAGCUUGCUUCUCUGAUGUUAGCGGCGGACGGGUGAGUAACACGUGGAUAACCUACCUAUAAGACUGGGAUAACUUCGGGAAACCGGAGCUAAUACCGGAUAAUAUUUUGAACCGCAUGGUUCAAAAGUGAAAGACGGUCUUGCUGUCACUUAUAGAUGGAUCCGCGCUGCAUUAGCUAGUUGGUAAGGUAACGGCUUACCAAGGCAACGAUGCAUAGCCGACCUGAGAGAGUGAAAGACCACACAGGAACUGAGAAACGGUCCAGACUUCUACGGGAGGAAGCAGUAGGGAAUCUGCCGCAAAGGGCGAAAGCCUGACGGAGCAACGCCGCGUGAGUGAUGAAGGUCUUCGGAUCGUAAAACUCUGUUAUUAGGGAAGAACAUAUGUGUAAGUAACUGUGCACAUCUUGACGGUACCUAAUCAGAAAGCCACGGCUAACUACGUG